rnacentral:rRNA from 1 species
CCUACGGGGGGCUGCAGUGGGGAAUAUUGGACAAUGGGCGAAAGCCUGAUCCAGCCAUGCCGCGUGUGUGAAGAAGGCCUUCGGGUUGUAAAGCACUUUCAGUGGGGAGAAAGCCUUGGGGCUAAUACCCUCGAGGAAGGACAUCACCCACAGAAGAAGCACCGGCUAACUCCGUGCCAGCAGCCGCGGUAAUACGGAGGGUGCGAGCGUUAAUCGGAAUUACUGGGCGUAAAGCGCGCGUAGGCGGUCUGAUAAGCCGGUUGUGAAAGCCCCGGGCUCAACCUGGGAACGGCAUCCGGAACUGUCAGGCUAGAGUGCAGGAGAGGAAGGUAGAAUUCCCGGUGUAGCGGUGAAAUGCGUAGAGAUCGGGAGGAAUACCAGUGGCGAAGGCGGCCUUCUGGACUGACACUGACGCUGAGGUGCGAAAGCGUGGGUAGCAAACAGGAUUAGAUACCCAGUAGUC